rnacentral:lncRNA from 1 species
GAAAGCAAAGAAGCAUGGAUAUACUUUUUUUCCCUUAAUUAAUGAUAUGCAAGGAGUUACGAUUUCAAUGAAAAUCACAGUUAAUUUACAAACAUCAAACUUAUUUAUGAGGAUGAAAAACUCGGUACAUAUUUUAAUAAACAGCCACAUUAUUCUUUCAAGCUAGGCUGAAUACAAUACACAAACAAAGCCUCUUAAACAUU